rnacentral:rRNA from 1 species
UGGCCAGACUCCUACGGGAGGCAGCAGUGGGGAAUAUUGCACAAUGGGGGGAACCCUGAUGCAGCGACGCCGCGUGAGUGAAGAAGUAUUUCGGUAUGUAAAGCUCUGUCAGCAGGGAAGAAGAAAGACGGUACCUGACCAAGAAGCCCCGGCUAACUACGUGCCAGCAGCCGCGGUAAUACGUAGGGGGCAAGCGUUAUCCGGAUUUACUGGGUGUAAAGGGAGCGUAGACGGCAGGGCAAGUCUGGAGUGAAAGGCAGGGGCCCAACCCCUGGACUGCUCUGGAAACUGUCCGGCUGGAGUGCAGGAGAGGUAAGUGGAAUUCCAGGUGUAGGAGUGAAAUCCGUAGAUAUCUGGAGGAACAUCAGUGGCGAAGGCGACUAUCUGGCACAUAACUGACGCUGAGGAGCGAAAGCGUGGGUAGCAAACAGGAUUAGAUACCCGGGUACC